AAGACAAACUACUGCGAAAGCAUUUGCCAAGGAUGUUUUCAUUGAUCAAGGACGAAGGAAGGGGGAUCGAAAACGACCAGAUACCGUUGUAGUCUCUUCUGUAAACUAUGCCAAUUGGGGAUCAGCUAAGAAUUUCAAUGACUUAGUUGGCACCCGAAGAGAAAUCUUUAANUGAGGUUCGGGGGGGAGUAUGGUCGCAAGGCUGAAACUUAAAGGAAUUGACGGAAGGGCACCACCAGGUGUGGAGCCUGCGGCUUAAUUUGACUCAACACGGGGAAAC
rnacentral:rRNA from 1 species